GACGAACGCUGGCGGCGUGCUUAACACAUGCAAGUCGAACGGAAAGGCCCUGCUUUUGUGGGGUGCUCGAGUGGCGAACGGGUGAGUAACACGUGAGUAACCUGCCCUUGACUUUGGGAUAACUUCAGGAAACUGGGGCUAAUACCGGAUAGGAGCUCCUGCUGCAUGGUGGGGGUUGGAAAGUUUCGGCGGUUGGGGAUGGACUCGCGGCUUAUCAGCUUGUUGGUGGGGUAGUGGCUUACCAAGGCUUUGACGGGUAGCCGGCCUGAGAGGGUGACCGGCCACAUUGGGCCUGGGAUACGGCCCAGACUCCUACGGGAGGCAGCAGUGGGAAAUAUUGCACAAUGGGCGGAAGCCUUAUGCAGCAACGCCGCGUGCGGGAUGACGGCCUUCGGGUUGUAAACCGCUUUCGCCUGUGACGAAGCGUGAGUGACGGUAAUGUGUAAAGAAGCACCGGCUAACUACGUG
rnacentral:rRNA from 1 species